GGCUUCAGCUCUGCUCAGAGGACGAGCAUUAGUCUGUGUCAGAUGUCUCCACAGAGAGUUGUGUCGAGUCGUCUGGAAGCCUCAGAGCGCUUUGUUCAGCUCCAAACCUUCAGACAGAAAACAGCCUCGCAGGACUCACAUCAAAAAAGCCAAACCUCAGCCUCCCAUUGACAUCGCCAAACUCCUGGAGACACUCUUCUCCCAGACGAGG